AUGGAAAGCCUGAUUAAAGGAUUAUCUUGAUAAGAUAAAAUAUGCGUGCCCCCCCCCGCUUCCAUUA
rnacentral:tRNA from 1 species